rnacentral:lncRNA from 1 species
GGAAAGAGCUGCAGUAGGAGGACUGGUCCACAGAGUCCUUGUGAGCGGACGGAUAUCAGGAUGGCAAUAGUAGCCGAUCACCUGGGACUUAGUUGGACAGAAGUUCUGGAGUUCUACGACACCAUUAAUAAUCAGGGUGAUGGAAAGGAACUGCCCAGCCUUGUGUCACAUCAGUAAAGUCCAAUGUGGGGGUGCCUACCAAGCAAUGAAGCUUCGCGGUGGUGAUUCUAACAAGACCCUCAAAUCUUGACUCAAUCCAUGACAAGAAAUUUGAUAUUUCCUAGACUGAAUAUACUUUUUAAACAUACAGUCAAAGGCAUUUGAAGACUCCUCUGAGAAUAUACUGAAACAAAUGCUUGAUUUCUUUUAUGACUACAGACCAUACAUAACUAAGCUAUUAAAAAUAUUAAUACC